GACGAACGCUGGCGGCGUGCUUAACACAUGCAAGUCGAACGGAAAGGCCCUGCUUUUGUGGGGUGCUCGAGUGGCGAACGGGUGAGUAACACGUGAGUAACCUGCCCUUGACUUUGGGAUAACUUCAGGAAACUGGGGCUAAUACCGGAUAGGAGCUCCUGCUGCAUGGUGGGGGUGGGAAAGUCUCGGCGGUUGCGGAUGGACUCGCGGCUUAUCAGCUUGUUGGUGGGGUAGUGGCUUACCAAGGCUUUGACGGGUAGCCGGCCUGGGAGGGUGACCGGCCACAUUGGGACUGAGAGACGGAGCAGACUCGUACGGGAGGCAGCAGUGGGGAAUAUUGCACAAUGGGCGGAAGCCUGAUGCAGCAACGCCGCGUGCGGGAUGACGGCCUUCGGGUUGUAAACCGCUUUCGCCUGUGACGAAGCGUGAGUGACGGUAAUGAGUAAAGAAGCACCGGCUAACUACGUG
rnacentral:rRNA from 1 species